rnacentral:lncRNA from 15 species
UUCAGCAACUUGAGUUCGGGGACGUAUCGCUGUGUACAGGGUUUGAAUCUACAAUUAUUGGUCAAAUUUGCAGAAAAGUUGCUGUGAUUGGUUGAAUUGGUGUGAACUUCUGGAAGGACUGACUGGAUACUUGUUGGACCUGAUUGGAGACCUGACUGAGGACUUGAGAAAGACUCUGGUCUCAUAUUGAGACCUCUUUAUGAAGUGGAUUAUAUGACUACAUUCGUGUUUGAUCCUGUGAGCUUCCUGUUCUGUUCAAUAAAACCACAAAGUGAACUCACUCCGUCUCCUUCAGUGUCUCUAACGAAGUCCUGGAUUCAUGUGAUCAAUUAAUGUGACGCUUUAUUUUAUUAUUGAUAUGAAUCAGAAAGACCAGCUCACACAGAGUGUCUGCUGAGUCAUUAAAUUCUCAGUGAGUUCAAUCACACUCCAGAUCUAUCUAAAAUCAAACUAAUGGAAUAAAAUCUAUUCUUAUGAAGCAGUUUUAACAAUAUAACCAAAUAAAUCACAUUUUAUGAUCAAUAAUGAUCUUUGGUAAUAAAGCCUAUGCUGCCACCAGUUAAAUCCCUCACGUAUUUCUAUAAAUAAAUACACGCUGCUUUUAUUCUGAAGGUAACGGAGUCUCGUCUCGUCACUUCCGCUCCUUAUGUAAACAGUAAAGAUGGCGGCCUCCUGUGCGCGCCGCGCCGUCCUCAGUCAGACCCUCAACAGGUCCAGGACUUCAGGAGGAGGCGUGAGACGGGUCUCAGCUGGAAGACAGGAGAGCUCUGUGACAUCACAGUCUGUGGACAGGAAGCGCUCGGCCUGCUGGGUAAAAAUCAGCAGACAUGAGUCCGUCAGUAGAAACUUUCAGAACACACAGAGCGGAGGAGGAGGAGGAGGAGGAGGAGGAGGAGGAAGAAGAGUCCUGUGGGCGGCAGUCGGUAGGUUCACUGACACCAAACUGUCCCUAAUAAAGGCCUGUCCCUAAUAAAGGUCUGUGCCUAACAAAGGCCUGUCCCUAAUAAAGGCCUGUCCCUAAUAAAGGCCUGUCCCUAACAAAGGCCUGUCCCUAACAAAGGCCGGGCUCGUUCACCCUGGCUGCUAUUAGAAGUUUUACAGUAUUUUACACUGUUUUCCUUUCGUACCAAACUCCAUUCAGAAAUCCACUGAUUUGAAUGUGUUCAGUGCCUUUAUACUGACACAGGUUAUAAUGUGUGUGCAGCUUUCUCCCUGUUCAGCACUUCUGAUGAAGACCAACGAGAUGAAGCUCAGAGGAAAGAGGACGAGAUCAUCCUGCUGCUGAAGAAAGCCAAGGUACCAGGACCUGCAGUAAUCCUAUAGUAAUACUAUUACUACUACAGUUAUUAGGGAUGUCCGAUAUUAUCGGCCGAUAUUCACAAAAAAAUGUAAUAUCGGGAAUUAUCGGUAUCGGGUUUUUAUAAACUGAAGUUUGUUCUGGAGGCUUCAGCAUUUCCGAGCCUGCAUGAACGCAGCAUGGGACGUUUACCGGCUUGCGCUAGAUGACGUAUAACAACAACAGCUACACACUAGACUGGUUGGUUGCUAACCGUGGCUAACAAGCAAACAAUUUAAAGCUGAAUGAUUUUAAUAUUAACACAAAAUAAGUGC